AUGGAAGCUUUAGCCUAAGUUCUGCCAGGAAGACUCAAUCACUUCGUCACUAAUUACCUUCAUCAUUAUCCAAUCACGUCUUUAUACUCCUGUAUAAAAGAUCGUACUUACACAUGUUUGAGUUCGCAGAUGCCAACGCGACAACAACCACAGAUUCCGACGCGAUUGUACUUGCUCAAGCUGUUGUGUUUAUUCAUCUCCUUGCUGUAAUUAAGUUCGUGCCCCGCAAACUAUCUAGAGUUUGACGUUCCUCUAAGAUGCACACGGGAUCGUUGGCUUAGCUCCGUGUCGCGGCGAUCAUCUGCAGUCGUUUGUGUUGGAUGAUUUACAAGCUUUUCUCGGCAGAGGAUGUGAACAUUGGCGGAGUUCCGUGUGCUUUCAGGCCAGGGUUGCCAGGUUCUCAAAACCGCCAGUUACUACUAUUUAAAAAAAAAAAAAAAUAGCCCAAUCGCGUUCAAAAGGGAUUUAUCGGUAGAAUUCACAUUCUAGGGGCUAUAUAUAACACUAUUGGGGUCACCUCAAACCCAGGACAGAAAAGGCAACCCACAAAAAAAAAAAAAUACGGUCUUGGCAACGCUGGUGCUUUCCGAGAUGUCGCGUCAGUGCUGCUUGGGUCUCAACACCUGAAAAGACUUUGGUCUCAAUCAACAAAUAUUCAUCUGUACGCUCACGUGAACCUGCAGCAAUGAAGUUUCUCCGGACCAGCAGACAGAAUCAAGGCUGCCCUCUUCGGCAUCUCGCCUCCAUCACUUCACAAGUCUACAGCAUUAUAAGUAUCAUUUUGUUCUAUGCACUUGCGGCGCCUGGGCAUUAAUUUAUUCUCUGCAAGGAUUUAUACUUGCACGUUCAAAUAAAACACUGUGCGUUUCGUGCUUGUUUAUUGACUUGCACAGCAUAAUUAAGAUGUUGAUCAUAGUGCAUGCAAUUUUCUGAAUUUCUUCGUAAUGAGGCACUUUAAGGCUCAUCAUAAACGCUACAAUCUUUAUACUGAUAAAGAUUUUUCGCAUUUCUUAAAAAAAAAAAAAAAAAAAAAAAAAAAAAAGCUCUGUCUAGCACACUUGAGAUUCGCUGUUUUAAUCCUAUGCUUUAAUAUUUGUUUAUUCAGUCUUUCAUUUGCGUUAUUCCUGAAAGUUCAUACUCUAAUGGGAUUCUAUGGUUGCAGAUGCAGGGAACCGUUGCUCUCACCUCAUCUUUACAUGGCUUACUCUUGGGCUAGUGAAUUAUGAACACCGGAUCUACCAAGCUGAUGCGUAUAUGGACCCUUCUUUUGAGUCGUAGGUAAGAUUCGGCUCAAUGCUCCGUCAGCAGGCAUAUAACUCCACGUGACACGAGUUGCUGAUGACCUUAUUUCAGAGUAGUGACAUAUCUCCAGUUUAAACCGAAUAUUAAUUAGCAGGCAUGGUUUGUUUGCACUCCUGGUCUCCGUCUCAAGGCGCGGUCACACUAGACUUUAAACAUGCGAAAUUAUUUCGAACGCCACUGCGAAUAUGGGCGGGAGCAAGAUAAAACAGUCUCCCCUCAAUUAUCACAAGAUGGAUUAUUAUGUUUGCUAGCACUGUGUCUUUUGCAACGGCGUCGAAAGCGUUUUAUUAUAUUGUAACGUUACUCUGUAUCUCUCUAUAAAUAUAUACACCCUAAGGGGAGGAGGGGGAGAAGAAAGAGAGAAGAGAAAAAAAAAAAAAAAAAAAUAUAUAUAUAUAUAUAUAUAAAACGUUGUCAUUCCAAUGUAUCACCUGUUCCCGUCGACACUACAAACCAUGCAGCUUUUCUUUUAUAAAUCUUUUAAUGUAUUAUAAACUAGGACGCUGUGCAACAGCUAAAGUAUAUAGCGCUUCCUUUUUGAAUUUUUGUACAGAGGCCAUGCAGCAAUGUAUCGCUCUUCUACUGGUCCACAUCCUCACGUUAUGCAAAUUCCCUGGUCAGAGUUCACCAAACUUGAACUUUGGAACGCAGCGAAAUGCAAAAUUUUUCGCAUAAGCUUGCGUUUCCGGUCCGACGCUUUCGCAUGCGUAUGAAUGGAAGUCAAUGGAGAGAAAAGUGCAGUGUGACCGCCCAUCACCCAUAACUAACUAACGGCCGGAGGGGCGCGUUAAGUAGGUUCUGCUCAUGCUGUCAAACUGACGUCAUCAGAAAAUUAUUCGUUACAGGGUGGAAAUAUUCAGAAUUUGAUAAGAUUGCUAAGACAAACAAUGUUUAAUUGUUUACACCAAGAUUAGCAAUGUGUGCUAGUAAGUCAAUUUGAUUUAUGCGUAUUUUAAACUUAACCUCUGAUACCUCAACUUAAUAUUAGAAGAAAAAAAAAAAAAUUGGGGAGUGACAGUUAAGGGGUUAAGCUACAAUCAAGGCUUGUUUAUAUUCGCGCAUCUACUGGUGUUGGUUCAUCACUCUUAUUCGGCUGUUGCGGCUUUCACUUUACACUUUUAAACUUUCAGACAGCUGUGCCCUCAGCCAACCCGGAUUCUUCAGUCUGCCCUCCGUUAGCCGACAUAAUACUAAACGAAGUGCUAUGUCAGCUGGAAAUCACAUUUCUAAGGCGUCGCUCCCUCUACAAUCAAGCCUACACGUUUGCAUGGUCCACUUCUAAUGUUUUUCCUUCCAAUUUUUGCGUUCCUAUUCUAAUUUCGACCGUUGCUCCUUUCUUGUCCAAAAAAAAAAAAAAAAAAAAAAAAGAAAUCGCAAUCUUAAUUUCUCUAUUCGCAGACUCCUUGCCAGCAUCUAAUCCACGCUAAAUUUUAUAAUAAAAUUUUCAAGCCUUUUGGUUAUUCAGUUCUAUUACUACUUGAGGGGUUAGCUAAAUCUUCCAACAAAUUAAAGACAAAUGUCUGCCUAUUACCCUGCCCAUAUUGCAAAAUGAAUUACUUCCAUCUGCUACGGCCUUCCUUCAAAGUACCUCAAUAUUCUUCUGGAGGCAGUGUUUAUCUGCUUUCUACAGGUUAUGCUUCCAGGGGAAUUCACUUCAAACCAAUCAAUUUGAUCCUGCUCGCGGCAUUUCCUUCAGAUCUAUGAUUCGGACCAAAAAUUCUUCACACUCUCCUCAAGCACUCAAAAACCGAUGUGCAAGGUUCUGGUGUCACCUUAACAAUUCUAAAAUCAAUAAUCCUGUCCCUUCUCUGCAUGGUGAAAUUUCUUAAAAAUCCGACCUAGAAUUUCUAAAACGCACCAGCUCUAUUUUUCCUAACGGAGCCCCCUUUCCAAGGCUGUUUAUAACUCACUUAACCACUGUUCUCAAAGCUGCAGUCUAUCUACUGGCCAUUCAUUCAGAAUUGGGGCAGCUACUUCAGCAGCUGAAUGAGGGAUCUCUACAUCAGCUGUUAAGAUCAUGGGCAGAUGGUCUUCCGAAGCAUUUGAAUCAUACGUCAGACCUGAUUCAAAACCAUUAUUGAAGCUCAGCAAGCUCUCCUGUAACUAAUCAGGUAAAUUCAUGCAAUUACUGGUGGUGGUGUUACUAUAUCUGUAUGGUCUUUCAAGGCCUGUCUGUGUCUGCCUAUCGUGACUAUUUCUGUACGGUCUAUCGAGACCUGUCCGUGUCCGGCUAUCAUGGCUAUUUUUCUGUAUGGUCUAUCAAGGCCUGUCCCAUGUCUGCCUAUUGUGGCUAUCUGUGUCUGGCCUAUCGUGGCUAUUUCUGUACGGUCUAUCGAGACCUGUCCGUGUCCGGCUAUCAUGGCUAUUUUUCUGUACGGUCUAUCAAGGCCUGUCCCAUGUCUGCCUAUUGUGGCUAUCUGUGUCUGGCCUAUCGUGGCUAUUUCUGUACGGUCUAUCGAGACCUGUCCGUGUCCGGCUAUCAUGGCUAUUUUUCUGUACGGUCUAUCAAGGCCUGUCCCAUGUCUGCCUAUUGUGGCUAUCUGUGUCUGGCCUAUCCUGGCUAUUUCUGUACGGCCUAUCAAGGCCUGUCCGUGUCCGGCCAUCAUGGCUAUUUUUCUGUAUGGUCUAUUGAGGCCUGUCCUGUGUCUGCCUAUUGUGGCUAUUUCUGUACGGCCUAUUGAGGCCUGUCUGCGUCUGCCAUUGUGGCUGUCUGCGUCUGGCCUAUCGUGGCUAUUUAUGUACGGCCUAUCGAGGCCUGUCCGUGUCUGCCUAUCGUGGCAUUUCUGUUGGUCUAUCGAGGCCUGUCUGUGUCUGCCUAUCGUGGCUAUUUCUGUUGGUCUAUCGAGGCCUGUCUGUGUCUGCCUAUCGUGGCUAUUUCUGUUGGUCUAUCGAGGCCUGUCUGUGUCUGCCUAUCGUGGCUAUUUCUGUUGGUCUAUCGAGGCCUGUCUGUGUCUGCCUAUCGUGGCUAUUUCUGUUGGUCUAUCGAGGCCUGUCUGUGUCUGCCUAUCAUGUCUGUGUCUGCCUAUCAUGGCUGUUUCUGUUGGUAUAUUGAGGCCUGUCUUUGUCUGCCUAUCGUGGCUAUUUCUGUUGGUCUAACGAGGCCUGUCCAUGCCUGCCUAUCGUGGCUGUCUGUGUCCUGCCUAUCGUUGCUGUCUGUGUCUGGCCUAUUUCUGUAAAACUUAAGAAGUUUAAUCUAACGUCAUUAUACUGGUCAUGCUAACUCUCUUUCUAUUUCUUCCAGGAACCUUAGGAUUCACAACUGGUGGGUAUACUUCAUCUACUUUUUUGGGGGGGAAGGCUGGCCCCGUCUGGAGGUCUCAUAAUCCACCUAAUUUUGGGGGUCUGCUGCGCCCCUGCCUUCGUCUUCAGGCAGGAAAUGCAGAUUCGCUACCCUCGGAUUACGAACCAUGGACGGGGCCUUCCGCCAAAGAAAUUUAUAAUUGUGCUCGCUGAGCUGUCAAUAAAUGUAUGCUUCGUACAUUCCUCUA